GACAGAGGGUGCAAACGUUGUUCGGAAUUACUGGGCAUAAAGAGCACGUAGGUGGUUCGCUAAGUCACGUGUGAAAUCCCCCGGCUCAACCGGGGAAUUGCGCGUGAUACUGACGAACUCGAGGCGGGUAGGAGUGAGCGGAACUCCAGGUGGAGCGGUGAAAUGCGUAGAUAUCUGGAGGAACACCGGUGGCGAAAGCGGCUCACUGGACCCGAUCUGACACUGAGGUGCGAAAGCUAGGGUAGCAAACGGG
rnacentral:rRNA from 1 species